AACAGUUUCCCUCUUUAACGGUCCUCGGUCGGUGUUGCAUGCCAAUUCUCGGUUCCAAAGAGAUCGCGUCGUCCUUACCUUGUUUCUUCGUGACCUCUCCUUCGGCUUAAGCUCCCUAGCACCCCCAACUUUACCGUCGGCGGUGACCGGCCUUUGCAUGAUCAACUCACACCGGUGAGCCCAUCAGUGACCUCCUUUCCUCGCCAAGAUUGUGUGCCCUAUCUAGCUCUUCACGCCUCUGUUGGUGAUUCCGCUCGAGCCUGCGCCUCAUCGUGUCGAAUGCCAGUGGUUCUUACCUCCCUCCUCUCCCCGGCGACCCUAAACACCGAUAAGUCUUUCCUCACGCUAGCUAACCACUGGCCUUGCCUCCUCUCUUCGAUUGAAACCCUCGUUGCAGCCCUUCUCUUGAUUAUUUCAUGCGACCUCUCCCCGGUCUCAUCGACUUCCCGCCGGUGAAUUCCCCACCGUUAGUCUCUCCCGUUGGCAGCCCUGCUCAAGUGGUUAUCCCUUAUAGUGAAGUCUCUCAUCCCCUAUCUCUUGAGAUUCCCUAGGGGUAACCUCCUCGUGGCUGAAAUCCUUCGCACCGGCAAUUCUCGCAGAUCUCCCUCUCGAUGUCGACAACCCCUCGUAAAAUAGCUCCUCACGAGAUCUCUCUAGCUCAUGUGAAACCGAGCUUAGGGCAAGCAAAUCUGACCUUGCCUCCAUCUCCCAUUGAUGGAGCUCAGACCAAUGGCGGGGCAACAAUCAUGUUACGGUGAUAGCAUUGUGGCGUAUUGAAACCCCAUUCUGCCCCUUCCACAGCGGUCUUUCACAUAGCAGCUAGAGCCCCACCACUAGAUCCAUCGAACCUUCGAGAUUCGAGGCAACAACUUGGGGGCAUAUUCACCACAACUUACCGAAAGGACGAGCAGCCCUUAUGGAUUGGUGAGGAGCUCUAGGGUUAAUUGACCACAGCAUGAGGCUCUUCUAAUUAUGAGAGGAAGUGGUAGAUGAACAGGGUGAAUUGGGCUAUAGAGUGAGCCAAGAGAGUUGCGCUCAAUAUUGGAGGAUCAUUCACCAAUACAGAAUACUACAGAAAACUAUGUCAAUCUCCUACACUACAAGGGCCAGGAGUUAAGUUUUGAGCCCUUCGUUGCAGAGCUGCAUGUUCGAACCCAUCAGUGCACAAAGUCGCAAAAGUGGGCUCCGAGCACUCCCAGCAGUUGAAUGAGAGGUGCUUGGCCUCUCUGCCCCAUACUUCCACCAAUAACACUGUGCGGUUCGAGUUCGAGUUGCGGACUCAGGCGGCGGGAAAGAAGAGGAGGAGGGUCUAUUGCCUCAGUGUGAAGGGCAUAACCCUCGAGGCCAAGAUCUAUCAUGUUUCAAUCAUGUUUCUGAGCUCGUCAUAACCAGACCAAGAUACUCUUGCCAAACAAGUUGCUGUCAUGAAUGAAGAGCUUCGCCAUUUGCAUGAACAGAUGUUACAAGGCCAACAUAGGGUUGAGGAUUCCAUAACAUGCAUUAUCUAUAGUUUAGCAAAUCGUCGAGGCAAGCUAUUGAUAGCGUUAGUAGGGGGAGGACGAGGAUGAAGAGGAGGAGGAGGGAGAUGAGAAGUAGGGGUUUUUUUUUUGUUCUCUUUUAUUUUUCAGGAUUGCUUUGAACUUAUGUGAUGGAUUUUUUUGACGAAUUCUAUUGUUGAUA